rnacentral:rRNA from 1 species
AGCAGUCGCCACGGUAAUACGAAGGGUGCAAGCGUUACUCGGAAUUACUGGGCGUAAAGCGUGCGUAGGUGGUGGUUUAAGUCCGUUGUGAAAGCCCUGGGCUCAACCUGGGAAUUGCAGUGGAUACUGGGUCACUAGAGUGUGGUAGAGGAUAGUGGAAUUUCCGGUGUAGCAGUGAAAUGCGUAGAGAUCGGAAGGAACAUCUGUGGCGAAGGCGACUAUCUGGGCCAACACUGACACUGAGGCACGAAAGCGUGGGGAGCAAACAGGAUUAGAUACCCCGGUAGUCCCUGUCUCUUAUAA